AAUCAUAAUCUCGCAAGGAAGAAACUACUCUUUUCACUACUUAUAAACUAUAAUUUGUCAAACAGAAAAACAGCAAUUCAAUCUCAAACACAAUGCACCAACUAAAUAUUAUUUUCAUCAAGAAAACCUCAAUCAUUCAAAUUCUAUUAAGCUCGCAUCACAAAAUGCAGCAAUAACAAUUAAUUUAAUUGCAAAAUCUACAAAAAGAAAAAAAAAAGUUGCUUUCCUUCUCCUGAUUCCUCAAAACUGAAAAAGAAAGAAAUAGCUCAGACUACAAUUCGAGCGUGUUCAAAUUGCAAUUGCCUACAAACACAGAAUAAUUCAUACCUCAGAAAGAGCAGCGAGAAGGA
rnacentral:misc_RNA from 1 species